GGAAGAUAUAAAUGUUAGUUCCUAAAGAAAUUCAUUCAGCAAAAGAAGAUAUCACUGCUCUAAGAAGGGAAAUAUGUCAAAAUUUCCAUGUUGAGUUUAGUUUUUUAAGGCAGACUCACUCAAACUUUUCAAGCAUUUACCUGGGGGGAAAAAACAGUGCAGUGUAACCUGAAAAGAAGGGGCCCAGAAAGUGAAGGGGAUAUCAGGAGGGCUGCUUGAUACAUAGAGCAUGACUAUGAGAAGAGAGAAAAAUGACACAUGAGGAGGCAGCAGAGUGCUAUAAAAGGAGGUGGAAGAAUGCCUGGAGGAGAAGUGAGGUAUCAGAUAUGCACAGGGCCUGCAAGGGAAAGAGGGUGUUUGUGAAUAACAGAAGUUUCAAGAGUAUUCAGUUUAAGGAAAACAAAAAGCAGCACAUUAUUGCUUUGUUGGCAUAAGACACCUAAAAAAAUUCUUUAAAAUGAGACUAGAAGGCUUAUGAUGGCUUCCACCAAUCCUCAGAGUUCUUUGAUGGCAAGCCUCAGAGACUACAGAAUGUUAAACUACAUGAUGGAGAAAUUCUACUUCAG
rnacentral:lncRNA from 1 species